AUAAUUGUUUUAAGAAAGCUCAGCAAGCUAAAAGAGAACACAGAUAUACCACUCAAUGAAAACAGAAAAACAAUUCAUGAAAAGAAUGAGAAGUUCAACAAAGAGAUACAAAUCAUACAAAAAUCAAAAAUCAUUAAAAAAUGAAAAAUUGUAGAGCUAAUGAAUACAGUGAAUAUAAUAGAAAGUGCAAUAGAGCAUCAACAGCAGACUUGAUCAGGCAGAAAAAAGAAUCCACAUACAUGAGGCUUAAAGGCUUCCAAAUCAGUUCAACCCAAAGAGGACUCCACCGAGAUACAUUAUAAUUAAGUUGCCAAAAAUCAGAAGCAGAAUUUUGAAAGCCACAGGAGAAGAGACUUGCCAUCUUCAAGGGAAUCUUCAUCAGACUAUCAGUGGAUUUCUCAGAAUAAACCUUGCAAGCCAUGAGACAGUGGGAUAAUAUAUUCAAAAUGCUGAAAGAAAAACAUUCACAAUGAAGAAUACUUUACUGACAGAGAUAACAAUUGUAAAUAUAUAUGCACCCAUCAUAGAACCUAAAU
rnacentral:lncRNA from 1 species